GCCAGGUGUGGUGGCGCACGCCUGUAGUCCCAGCUACUCAGGAGGCUGAGGCAGGAGAAUCACUUGAACCCAGGAGGUGGAGGUUGCAGUGAGCCAAGAUUGCACCACUGCACUCCAUCCUGGGUGACAGAGUGAGACUCUGCCUCCA
rnacentral:SRP_RNA from 1 species